rnacentral:rRNA from 1 species
GACGAACGCUGGCGGCGUGCCUAAUACAUGCAAGUAGAACGCUGAAGAGAGGAGCUUGCUCUUCUUGGAUGAGUUGCGAACGGGUGAGUAACGCGUAGGUAACCUGCCUGGUAGCGGGGGAUAACUAUUGGAAACGAUAGCUAAUACCGCAUAAUAGUAGAUGUUGCAUGACAUUUGCUUAAAAGGUGCAAUUGCAUCACUACCAGAUGGACCUGCGUUGUAUUAGCUAGUUGGUGAGGUAACGGCUCACCAAGGCGACGAUACAUAGCCGACCUGAGAGGGUGAUCGGCCACACUGGGACUGAGACACGGCCCAGACUCCUACGGGAGGCAGCAGUAGGGAAUCUUCGGCAAUGGACGGAAGUCUGACCGAGCAACGCCGCGUGAGUGAAGAAGGUUUUCGGAUCGUAAAGCUCUGUUGUAAGAGAAGAACGAGUGUGAGAGUGGAAAGUUCACACUGUGACGGUAUCUUACCAGAAAGGGACGGCUAACUACGUGCCAGCAGCCGCGGUAAUACGUAGGUCCCGAGCGUUGUCCGGAUUUAUUGGGCGUAAAGCGAGCGCAGGCGGUUAGAUAAGUCUGAAGUUAAAGGCUGUGGCUUAACCAUAGUACGCUUUGGAAACUGUUUAACUUGAGUGCAAGAGGGGAGAGUGGAAUUCCAUGUGUAGCGGUGAAAUGCGUAGAUAUAUGGAGGAACACCGGUGGCGAAAGCGGCUCUCUGGCUUGUAACUGACGCUGAGGCCCGAAAGCGUGGGGAGCAAACAGG